rnacentral:lncRNA from 1 species
CCAUUUCGUGCACAAUACCAGGAACCACAUUAGUUGCUAAGGUGGUUUUGGUUUCAGGUAUAACACGAGGAUUCAUAGUAAUUGCUGCUGGAGGUUUUCUAUCAGUUUCAGAUAUAACACGAGGGCUCAUAUUUGCUAUGGGAUGUUUUCUAUUGGUUUCAGGUAUAACAAGAGGGUUCAUACUAGUUGCUAAGCGAGGUUUCCUAUCAGUUUCUGGUAUAACACGAGGAUUCAUAGUAGUUGCUGUAGGAGGUUUUCUAUCCAUUUCAGGUACAACAAGAGGGGUGAUAUUAGUUGACGAGGGAGGUUCUCUAUCAAUUUCAGGUGCAGGACCAGCAUUGAUAUUAUUUGAUACGGUGGUUGUCCUAUUUGUUUCAUGCACAAUUUUGGAGGCCAUAUUUAUUGAUUGAUCUUCAUUAUUAAAUUUCUCUCGUCUUUCA